UACGUAGGGGGCAAGCGUUAUCCGGAUUUACUGGGUGUAAAGGGAGCGUAGACGGCGCAGCAAGUCUGAUGUGAAAGGCAGGGGCUUAACCUCUGGACUGCAUUGGAAACUGUUGUGCUUGAGUGCCGGAGGGGUAAGCGGAAUUCCUAGUGUAGCGGUGAAAUGCGUAGAUAUUAGGAGGAACACCAGUGGCGAAGGCGGCUUACUGGACGGUAACUGACGUUGAGGCUCGAAAGCGUGGGGAGCAAACAGG
rnacentral:rRNA from 1 species